ensembl:lncRNA
AAAUGGAAAAAAAGACACUAUUUAUUAAUGAAAUGUCAGUUUUACCAGAUGGGAAAAAAUGCCCAGUAAUCACCAGCGUUUUUGGCAGUUACAAUAAAUGACACGGUUCCAUCAUUUUCAAUCAUUAUAAAUAGAGUCACAAAACAGUAAACCCACAAUUUAUACAAAUAACUGUUCUUCAUUUUAAAAAAGAAACCGUCCAGGGAUUAGAGACUUCAGGCUGGUCUCGCGAACAUAAAGGGUUUUCUAACCUGCAAACUUGAAAACUGUCAUGUUUCAGUUACAGGCUGCAUUUGUUCUGUACGUUUUCUUUUAAAAAAAACAAACUUUUAUCCUUCGUUUUCAUUUCAAGAGGAAAAACAAUAUGCUCCAUAUGGUUUGGUUCAACAUCUUGAAAACAUUUUGUUACAAAUCAUUUGGUCAGCAGUGUAUUUAAAUACAGUUUCUGAAGUGGAAAAUGCUGAAUCACUAAAACCUCCUACAUAUCAAAAAUAUAAGCAUCACCAAAAUCCUACACACAAAAUAUACAGUAGCGGCUGACCGACAUAGGAUUUUUAAAACCAAUACCGAACAAUAGUUUUUUCUUCUGGGUUCACAAAACAUAAAGUUUCCAAACAUUUGUUAAGUGUAGUUUCUUUAUGAGUCCUUGCUAAGAUAUCAUGACAGUUUACUUCAAAAAGAAUCUUGCUUUUUGUCACAACAAGUUGCAGAUUACUCGUUUAUGCUCAGCCCGACUCUACUCAGAUCAGCCGGUUGUGUUUGUGGUGUUCCACACUUAUGCUGCCCACAGAGAUGUUGCAGAGUGUCCUCUGGUGCACACACUACACCAACAUCAACAUUCAUACCAUGGAUGAAGGGCGUGUUCUCCAUCUCUCCUUUACUUUUUAAUUUUUAUUUAUGAUGGUUAUACAUAGAUGCUGACACCAACAGCCAACAUACCCGCCGUGCCAAUAUAAUGGUUGGACUCAAUUCAUCAGUAGCAUAACAAUUAAAAACAAAAUUAUGUUGUUUGAACAGUUCACUAUUCCCUAAUCUUAAAAUCUACUUGAAACCUCUCAGCCCCAGUGAACUUCAGUGAAUCUAAAGGCUUUUCAUCAAGCAUAUACCAGGAGUUCAGGAUAAAACAACCUUUUUAAGAAAAAAGUCUAGCAUUACUAAAGGGCACACAUGUGUAAACUGAAGCUACAUUACAAUAAAACUGUCCCUCUCUAACAGUGCAAUAAAGUUAAAGACCUUCAGAUUGCUGUAAGAAAUGCAGCCUUUAAAAGUCCUCAAACAAGGGAUCAAAUAUUAAAAAAGAAAGGAUGGAUUUUACAUAAUUCCUGAUCUUACAUGUUUAACUAACUAUAAUACUAACAAUCUACUUCCUCUGAUAUUGAGUGCAACUUUUAGCCAUUAAAAACUGACUGUAAAAUUAUUCUUAGUCUACUUCUUCAGCAGCACAGCGGUGGUAUUUAUCUAGAUUUCCAUGUUUACAUCAAUGUGAGAAACAAAUAUUGGAUCUACUCCACUCCCUAGGAAAUAGAGGCUUUUUAAACAAACCAACAGGUAAACAGAAAACAGGAACAUAUUCAAAGGACAAUUUCCAUAACUGUCUCCAUAAAUAGUGCAGUUUUUCUAACAAAUUGAAAUAUAAUCAGUGCUUUUACACACUCACAUACUUUCUCAUAUGUGGAGACAUGAAAUAGGAAUUACACUGGAGAAGAAUGAUUACUUAUUGUUGGAAAAGCGUACAUUCAAUACAAAAUAUCCUGUUUAAUAUCCUGUUAUAGGUAGUUAAAACAAACCUUUCAUGUUCUUGUCUAUGAAUUUGAAUAAUAUCUGUAUAAGAAGAGCUUGCUUCUUCUUUUUUACGUCUUUGUGAAUGCAUACCAGACUCCUGAGGCCCGUACUAUGAAGCUGGAUUUGGUUAUAUCCAGGUAUGC